rnacentral:lncRNA from 1 species
UUCUGAUUUCCCCUGUUAAACGUGUGCUGGAAGACUUACUCCUUCUUGAUAAGUUAUUUCUCUACCAGUGUAAUGAGCCAAUUCAAGGCCAAUUAGAUUAUCUUUUUUUUUCAACAAUUAGAUUAUCUUAAAUGCAAGUUGUGAAGAAGGAGAAGAAGGAAGAGUAAGAGAGAAAGGCCACAGAGAAAGGAGAAGAAGAAGAAGAGAGAAAAGAGACCAACGUGUCUGGAUUAUAUAGAGAAGAGCCUUUUGGGGAAAGGCAGCCCAACCCCUGGGCUGAAAAGUUCAGGGCUGGGGACAGGAGACAGAGAUGUUGGAAGAACCUGGAGGGCACAGCUUGUGGGGCCGUGAAGUCUAGAAUUCCAGCGCCGGUUGGUCCCGAAUUGUAAUGCGGAUGUGCAUUUAACCUUGUGAUACAACCAGUGAGGAGGAUGAAAACGAUGCCCAGCAGCUGAGGUGUCAAGAAAUUUACCAAGGAUGAAGUGAAAAGGGCAAGGAAGAGUUAAUUCAAGGCUGUUGCAAUGGAAGAAAGAAACUGAACACAACUUCGUUAAAACAAAGGAUUAGAGAACUGUGUACUGUUGGGUAAAGCUAACAGAAAAGCCCUGGAGUG